rnacentral:rRNA from 1 species
CCGAGUUGUUAGACACCGGCGUAAAGAGUGGUUAAGAUUGCACCUAACACUAAAGCCGAACGCCCUCAAAGCUGUUAUACGCAUCCGAAGGUAAGAAGCCCAACCACGAAAGUGGCUUUAUAACAUCUGAAUCCACGAAAGCUAUGACACAAACUGGGAUUAGAUACCCCACUAUGCCUAGCCAUAAACCUUGAUAGUAACCUACCCCUACUAUCCGCCCGGGAACUACGAGCAUCAGCUUAAAACCCAAAGGACUUGGCGGUGCUUUAGACCCACCUAGAGGAGCCUGUUCUAGAACCGAUUACCCCCGUUCAACCUCACCUUUCCUUGUCCCUCCCGCCUAUAUACCACCGUCGUCAGCUUACCCUGUGAAGGACUCAUAGUAAGCAAGAUUGGCAUAGCCCAAAACGUCAGGUCGAGGUGUAGCGUAUGGAAAGGGAAGAAAUGGGCUACAUUCCCUAACACAGUGAACUACGAACGAUACGCUGAAACACGUAUCUGAAGGAGGAUUUAGCAGUAAGCAGAAAAUAGAGCGUUCCGCUGAAACCGGCCCUGAAGCGCGCACACACCGCCCGUCACUCUCCCCGAGCCCAUCAACAUCAAAUACUUAAAACCUUUAAACUGCAAAGG